rnacentral:tRNA from 1 species
UCUCUGGUGGUCUAGUGGUUGGGAUUUGGCACUUCCAGUGCUGUGGCCCAGGUUCAUUCCUGGUUGGAGAA